rnacentral:rRNA from 1 species
GACGAACGCUGGCGGCGUGCUUAACACAUGCAAGUCGAACGGUGAAGCUCUUCGGGGUGGGUCAGUGGAGAAGGGGUGAGUAACACGUGAGCAACCUGCACCUGGCUCUGAGACAACCACUGGAAACGGUGGCUACUACCGAGAACGACCGGCCCCGCCAUCGGCAGAGGGUGGGAAGGUAGUCGGCUGGGGAUGGGCUCGCGGCGGAGCUGCUUGUGGGUGGGGUGACGGCGCACGAAGGCGACGACGGGUAGCCGGCCUGAGAGGGAGACCGGCCACACUGGGACUGAGACACGGCCCAUACUCCUUCGGGAGGCAGCAGUGGGGAAUACUGCACAAUGGGCGGAAGCCUGAUGCAGCGACGCCGCGUGAGGGAUGACGGCCUUCGGGUUGUAAACGUCGUUCAGCUACGAAGAAGCGAAAGUGACGGUAGGGGCAGAAGAAGCACCGGCUAACUACGUG